rnacentral:rRNA from 1 species
AAUAGAUACCCUGGUAGUCCACGCCGUAAACGAUGAGUGCUAGGUGUUGGGGGGUUUCAAUACCCUCAGUGCCGCAGCUAACGCAAUAAGCACUCCGCCUGGGGAGUACGCUCGCAAGAGUGAAACUCAAAGGAAUUGACGGAGGCCCGCACAAGCGGUGGAGCAUGUGGUUUAAUUCGAAGCAACGCGAAGAACCUUACCAGGUCUUGACAUCCCGCUGACCGCCCUAGAGAUAGGGGCUUCCCUUCGGGGCAGCGGUGACAGGUGGUGCAUGGUUGUCGUCAGCUCGUGUCGUGAGAUGUUGGGUUAAGUCCCGCAACGAGCGCAACCCUUAUUUCUAGUUGCCAGCAUUCAGUUGGGCACUCUAGAGAGACUGCCGUCGACAAGCGGAGGAAGGCGGGGAUGACGUCAAAUCAUCAUGCCCCUUAUGACCUGGGCUACACACGUGCUACAAUGGUUGGUACAACGGGAUGCUACCUCGCGAGAGGACGCCAAUCUCUGAAAACCCAAUCUCAGUUCGGU